AGCGAACGCUGGCGGCAGGCUUAACACAUGCAAGUCGAGCGGGCAUCUUCGGAUGUCAGCGGCAGACGGGUGAGUAACACGUGGGAACGUACCCUUCGGUUCGGAACAACUCUGGGAAACUGGAGCUAAUACCGGAUACGCCCUUAUGGGGAAAGGUUUACUGCCGAAGGAUCGGCCCGCGUCUGAUUAGCUAGUUGGUGGGGUAACGGCCUACCAAGGCGACGAUCAGUAGCUGGUCUGAGAGGAUGAUCAGCCACACUGGGACUGAGACACGGCCCAGACUCCUACGGGAGGGAGCAGUGGGGAAUAUUGGACAAGGGGGGAAAGCCUGAACCACCAAGGCCGCGUGAGGGAUGAAGGCAUAAGGGUUGAAAAGCUUUUUUGCCCGGGAGGAUAAGGAGGUUACCGAAAGAAUAAGCCCCGGCUAACUUCGUC
rnacentral:rRNA from 1 species